rnacentral:rRNA from 1 species
GGAGUUAGCCGGUGCUUCUUCUGUGAGUGAUGUCCUUCCUGCCGGCUAUUAACCCGCAGGCCUUCUUCCUCACUGAAAGUGCUUUACAACCCGAAGGCCUUCUUCACACACGCGGCAUGGCUGGAUCAGGGUUGCACCCAUUGUCCAAUAUUCCCCACUGCUGCCUCCCGUAGGAGUCUGGGCCGUGUCUCAGUCCCAGUGUGGCUGAUCAUCCUCUCAGACCAGCUACGGAUCGUCGCCUUGGUGAGCCGUUACCUCACCAACCAGCUAAUCCGACAUAGGCUCAUCCGAUAGCGCGAGGCCCGAAGGUCCCCCGCUUUCCCCCGUAGGGCGUAUGCGGUAUUAGCCUGGGUUUCCCCAGGUUAUCCCCCACUACCGGGCAGAUUCCUAUGCAUUACUCACCCGUCCGCCGCUCGCCACCAGGGAGCAAGCUCCCCGUGCUGCCGCUCGACUUGCAUGUGUUAGGCCUGCCGCCAGCGUUCAAUCUGAGCCAGAAUCAAACUCUGA